AUAAUAAACAACUUUGUCCUUGUUUAUACAAAAUGAAAGGGAAAAAAAUUCAGUGAACGAGCUGAAAUUCAAAAGAAAUUUAGUCACUAUGGAUGAAGUUAACCUACAUGUCCCGCAAGUCAAAAGCUUUACAACCAUGCAUGGUAAAAGGGAACUCUAUAAGAAACUGGCAUUAGUGCCCAAAAAAAUACAAAUGAUGGCACUCUUCGUUUCGUUAGUGUUGUAAUGGACAGCAUUUGUAAAAUCUUUUUUCCCUCGGUAUAAAAACUCUUUAGUUAACUAUUUUGAAAAAACAUGACAAAAAGAAGGCGUCAAAAUAUAACUGUCAGAAUAUUGCAUACUACACACAGCAAUAGUUCAGCUGCCAUUCACUGCAUCUUUAGUUUCCUGAACUUCCUGGAGAAGUAUUUCAAGUUCAACUGUUAUCUCAGAGAAGGGUGGUCGAUUGGCAGGAGUUGUUUCCCAACAUCUCUGCAUCAAGUCUAGUAGCUUUGGGUGUGCAUCCUGAGGGAGUUCUGGACGCAGCCCCUGUCUUACUCCCAGGGCAGCCUGUAGCGGAGUCAUGGUAUCAUAUGGCACCUUGGCUGUUACCAGCUCCCACAGUACAAUAGCAAAACUGAAUAUAUCUGCUUUUUGAUCAUAUGGUUGAUGGUUUAUAACCUCAGGUGCCAUCCAUCUGUAUGUUCCGGUCUCUGCUGUCAUCACACCUUCUUGAUUCUGGAAACGAGCAACUCCAAAAUCUGCCACUUUAACAACCUUGAGACAAAAACAUACAUGUUUCUUAUUAUGGUAAAGACGCAAACCUAUUUCUCCACGGCCAUCACACCCCCUUUUUUUUCCUUAAUAUUUUAAAUAUCUAAAAAAAUAAACACACACAUCCUGAACUCAAACUCAGCCACGUUUACAUUUUUAACAGUGAGGAGUAUUUGAACUUGAUUAAAACACUUACCUAUUCUGAAUGCACCACAUUAAAAAUAGCAUCAAAUCCAACAAUGUGAUCCAAGAAAGGACAUAAUAUCAGGAAAAAAAAAUCUUCAACCACUAGUCAAGAAAAAUCUUCAACCACUAGUCAAGAAAGAAGCUAUAUGAUCGUGGAAGAACUACAGGCUACAACAGGCUAGUGCUCCUCCCAAAAAGCAGCUAGCACUCUAAUCCCAUUAUUGAAGCUAAGGCUACACCCAUUGAGGUCCACCAUCCCCAAUUGUUCAAAAGUAAACAAUUCAAUUCUUUCUUCAUAGGUAAGAUUUAACUCUCCAGUUAGAGCCCAAGGGAAACAGCUACUCUUCCAAAUAACAUUAAAUAAUUUUGAAGAAAUAUUUAUUAAAAAAAACUUCUGAAUUAUGGUCUAUUGAUUAUCAUAUUUCCCAAGUUCUAGAAUGCAAGAACAACAAAAUGAUAAAAUAAGAUUGAUUUAAAGAAACUUCACAUUUACGUAACUUAAGGGCCAACAAAGAUGUGAUCUGAAUCCCAUCAGUUUUAAUGAUUAUCCUUACCUUGUGAGCGUCCAUUAACAAAUUUGCUGUCUUCAAAUCCCUAUGAAUUAUAUUGUUUUGAUGCAAAUAUUCCAUUCCUCGGGAAACAUUUAUUGCAAACUUCAACAACUGAGGAAGCUUCAAUAAAUUAUGGUUCUUAUGCAAGUAAUCAUAGAGACUUCCACCUGGCAUAUACUCUGUUACUAUGCACAAAUGUGGAGACUGCGUACAUGCACCAAUAAAACGAACGACAUUUCUAUGUUGGACUUGCCUGCAUCAAGUGAAACAUAAACCAAAUAAUAAUAAGGUAAUUAACUAGAAAAGUCAUCCAGAUGCAAAUAUAGAACUAAAAAUAUUACCAACUAGACCAAAAAUAAAAUGCUUACAAUUAUGGCAAUGUAACAAUCAUGGGUUUACAUAAUUUAUCAUUGUGAUUUCUAUGCAUACAAAAUAUUAAGAGAAAUUUAUUCAAACAUGAUGUAUUCUCUUAUUUUCCAUCCAAUAUUAUCAGCAAAAAAUAGCAUGCCCAGCUAGGGACAUGGAAUUAAAUGCCAAUGCACAUUUCUCUAUGAGUUUAGCAAGUACUAAAGAAAAUUAAAAUGACAAAGACAAAAGUUGAAAAUUGGUCUGCCCGUGCAGUGGCAGAGGAUGAGUAUCAAAAUUGAAUGAUUGACUGACACAUAAACAUCUUGGAUGCACCAACCUCUUAUUUCAACUACCAUGGCAUUCAUCAAGGACAACAUGCAAGACAUACAUGGGAUUUUGUGCUCAACAACUGAAUCCUGUGAGUAAACAGUUCAUUACAGCAAACUUCCAGUAACUUCAUUUCCUUCAUAUUUCAAGUAACCUUGAUUAGAAGCAUCUUCAUAAUUCAGGAAGCUAGGGUAUGCAAAAAUGACAUAAUUAAGAUGGGAAGAUAAUUGUUCAUAUUUUAACAUUUUCAAAUUAGCAAGACCAAAUUCCAGCAGGGAUGUUCAAACAUUUUAGAUUACUAUUCACCUUAAAAUUGCAACUUCUUUAGCAAACUCCUCUUCUUUUCUAUCAUUUAAAUGCUCAGAUAUAAGAAUUUUAACAGCAACAUCCUGACCGAGGUAAACUCCAUGAUACAGAUCUCCACAAGAUCCAGAUGCAAUUCUUUCCGCUAUUUUCAAUAAUCGUCCAUCUAUUUCCCAAUCUCCAGAUUUUGCUUGUGCUGCUGAAGCUUUAUCCACCGAUGAAUGAAAGUGUGAAGAACCAGACCAUGACCCCUAUAUUUUCAUAGAGGCUAGUCAAAAAAGUUUUUUCCAUUUAUUAUUUUUCUACUCAAACAAAGAUGAAACUGCCACAAAUGGAAAAGGACAAAGCAAGUUACAAUUUGCAAAAACUUUGAGAUAUGAUACCAAAACCAAGGCCAAUUGCUAAAGGAAGCUAAAAGCUGAGAAUCUGCGGCAAGAUCCACUCAUUAGCUCAGACAUUUUGUGAAUUUAAUUUAAUCUUUUCCAUGGAUACGCAUCUGGAUUUCUAUUUGUUUCACAAUUGAGGCUGGCAAAUAACUGCCAAGGUAAACAGCUUCUCUGAACUCAAUCACUGUCAUUCUUCAUCAUAGAACCAGCUGAAUUUCUAAUCUACAAACUAUUAGUGAGAGGAAGUUCGUCAUCUAGCUGUCAUGAUACAAGUUUUCUUAAAAAAAUUAUUUCGUUCCAUCUUGAAUGAAGAUUGCAGAAAGUCUCAGUAGCCAAGAAUCCUGGAACAAGAGAAGAUGCUACUUCUUAUUUGGAGGGCAGGAGACAGAACUAAGAGGUUGCAAAAUAAGCUUUUCAAGUACAGCUGGCACAAAGCAAGAACCACACAUGAAAGUCAUAAAAUUUAAUGAUUUUAUUUCUAGAAGGAAAGAUUAGUGCAGACAUGUAGAAAAACCACAACAGAUAUAUAAGCUUCAUAAGGUGUCUCAACAGUGUGAAGAGCGAGUGGAGCCACCAUCAACAACCAUGUGCCUCAAAGAUAAGACAAUACUGUUAUCUGUUGAUUGCUGACACCAAGCUAAUGAUAUAGCUAGUUUAACUGUUGAAGGAUGAAAAUUUCAGUGAUGAAUUAUUUAUGGAUACCCAGGUUAAGUCAAGAAGAAACUCCUAUAAAAGGAAUGUGCUUGGAACUGCAAGUUGAAAAGAAGAAUGACUUAUUAAUGCCUCCACAAAUUUUUUCAAGGUCUGCAUACAGCAAAUAUCAUUUACCAUUUAUCUUUUUUUUAUUAUUAUUAAUUUAGAAUCUCCUCUUUUUCCGGUUAUAUCAAAUGGCUGAGCUACACUAGGGAAACUCCUCCUCUCCCUUAACCUUGUUAUGACUAGGGGAAGCCCCAAACAAGGAAGUUUUCGCACAAGGCCUGUGGGAGAUCAAUAAAUAUGUUUUAUACACCACAUUCAACCCAAAAUCAGAAAAGCAAUGGUUUAUGGAUCCCACAUGUAAAUUCCUCACUUGGCCUCUUUCGUUCUAUUGUGGGAUUCAAUAACAUUCAUUCUCAUCUGUUAUCCAACAAAAUCCACCUGCCUUUCCAGUUCCCUCCACCCCCAACAAUAUUCCAGGUGUAAUUGAGAUCUAUCUCAAGUUGAUAUCAUGCAACCUCACCAACUCAAAUGAGUAAAUGACUAACACUAACAAGCAUAUCAUCUUUCAUUACCAACGGCAACUAAAUUUUCUUCCACAAUCUUUGUGAUUUAUUCCGUAUAAUCACAACAGCAGCAGGAAAAAAAAAUAACUGUGAAAUCAGGUCCUGAAAAUUAAGAAAAUAUUCUCCUAUUCCUCUGAUAUUGAUCAACUUUUUCACAAAAACAGCAUGAUUAAAAAGAAAACAAUAAAAACAUAAUGACAAUGAGACAGACUUCACCUCACUUCCAGAAAUUGCUUUUUCCAUAGCCUUAUAUAAACCAUCUGUAUCCUGGCCACAACAUUGCAAAGUCAGCAACAUUUGGACUCAGCACAGAUCCCUCAACAGGCCAUCCAUCCACCACAAAUACAUCCAAGGAGUAACCAUCAGUUGUUGAGAACACAUGUGCUUCACGGAUAUUAAGUCCUAUAUCUGAAAGCAAAGCAGAAAGCUGGCUAAGGAGCUUUGGCUUGUCAAUGGUAGAAAAAAUUACUUCAUGAACAUGUACAAGUUCUUGCCUUCUAGAAGCAUUCUCUCUAUGAUAUGUUUCCUCCAUGCCUUUGUAAUCCUUUUUAACAUCCAAAUUUAGAUGCUUGAGCUUAGAGCAGGGCUCAAAGUCAAUUGCACAGUCCUUGAUUUUCUUAUUUGAUGGCACAACUCCAUUGUCUGCAUUAAAAUCUGGCCUCUCAGUGGAAAUAAUAUUCGUAAAUUGUAGGUCAUCACCAUCAUCUGUUCUGGUGCAAUGGUUCUCCAAGAAACGAAUAUGAUAAACCGGGCGUUUCUCUGGAUCUUUUGCUGAUGUAAGAAGUCUUUGGUGUAACAGAACAUCCUCCGCUCUAUCCAUGUUGACGUCAAGUAAAUAACUGAUAUGAAAUAACUCAAAAGCAAUUUCAUCAAGCCCAUGAGAGAAUAGAGAUCGUCCAUUCCAGCCAUGUGCACAAAAAAAGAAUGAUGUAAGCACAAAGAUGAACACAAAUAAGCAAUUAAGCAAAUAUUAGAGAAAGAUAAUAAAGGCAAGAAAACCUUUGGAUCAAAUCUUGCUUUCUAUUUAUAAAACUGAAUAAGUACAAAAGAUUUAGGCCUUUUUUUUUGUCAAGGGUAUUCUGAAGUGCUAAAGACAGCCUACCUUCUUGAAACAUUGAUAAAUUGUCUUUCCGAUUUCAUUUUCCUCUGCUGAAUAAUUAUCAGUCCUUAUGUAAACCCAAAAACUUAGAAUUAAAUUCCCAACCAAAACAAUAAACACCAUAGUCCCGUUUUCAGCAAAAGUUUGCGAAUCCUGCAUCAGUUUUAGCAACUCCAAGCUAAUGCUUAUUUUCAAAAUAUAAAGAAAUUCAAAAAUUGAAAUGCCAAGAUUAGAAAGGGGAAAAAAAAAGUUUAAAACAAAACUAACCAGUCACACAAGCACAUUCCAGUUCUCUACAUAUGCAACUAUAACCGAUUCAAACAGUGUUUGCAAAGCGAAUUUUCAAAAACACUGGAUUCUCUCCCCACUCCAAAGCCAGAAAAGCAUACAAAAAGACAUGCAAAUAUACAUUUAUGCACAAAAAUCAAAGUUAAAAUGAGAAGAAAAACCUAGAAGGCAAGCGAUUAAAGUGAGCAUCAAGCUGCUCACGAAACAAAGGAUUAGAAACAGCUUCCUCGUGUCCAAUCUGCAUCAAGCGGUCAUACACAUCGUUCCUCACAUCACAGUUAUUGAAGCUCCCAAAGCUCCUCGGCGGCGAAGAGCUCUCGCCAACACCUUCGGUCCAAUCCAUUCGAUUUCCUCUCUUCUUUUCCGCUACUAGCAACCUCCACCUGCUUCCAUGAGAGAGAAAGUGAGGGAAAAUGGAAAGAAAAUAGAGGACAACUUUGAUCAGCUGAGGAUCUUUGACUGUAGGUAGAAUCUACAAGGACAAAGCAAAUUGGGAGUUUUGAAGGUAAAUGAAGGGCAAUUUUGUCCUAAAUGAAAAACUGUGGCAGAGUACGGUGAAUCUACGAGUUCUAGAGCUUUUCUUCUUUAUAUGUUUGAACAGAGACACCAGGUCGGUUUUCGUCUUUGCAUUUCUAUUUUCUUCUAUCCUUUUAAAAGCCAGAUGGAUAGAGUAGUUAGUUUGGUGUGUCAGAAUUGAAUGUCUAAAAUGCCCUCCAUAAUUUUCUGAAUUUACUUCGUU
rnacentral:misc_RNA from 1 species